rnacentral:tRNA from 1 species
UCUUUCGAGCCGGAUUUGAACCAGCGACCUAAGGAUCACCGUUGUAACAUCUACAGUCCUCUGCUCUGCCAACUGAGCUAUCGAGG